rnacentral:tRNA from 1 species
GGUCUAUCAGCUCAGUUCGUUAGAGCGUGGUACUAAUAAUGUCAAGGUCAUAGGUUCGACCCCUGUAUGAACCA